AAUUCACUAUGGUUUGUUUCUGUGACUGUCGGUUCUUGGGUUCUCUGCACAACAAACUCUGUUCUCAUUCUCACCAUUCAUCAACCACAACACAAAUUCUUUAACUUUAAUAAUAAGAAUUUCAACAGCCACUUCUCAUUCCACUCACCUUCUUCACCAUUUGCGUCACAUAAAAGUGACUUAUACAUCAACAUUCUUUAUUUGUUAUUGUUAGUUACAUACAUUCUGUUUCUUAUUGUUUGUUUCUCCAUUUUACAAGCUAUAUCACAUUCACCUCAACAAACUUUGUUUUCGCUCCAUUCUUCAAUUCAGAAUGGAGAGGACAAGAUUAUGCCAAUGGUUAAACCUUCUGGUGUUUGUACUGGUAUGGCUCAAGACAGAAGCUGCUUAUGUACCAAUCACUUAUGUCCACAACGCCGUGUUAAAAGGAGCCGUUUGUCUGGAUGGUAGUCCACCAGCUUACCAUUUAGAUAAAGGAUAUGGAACAGGACUAAACAGUUGGUUAGUUCAAUUUGAGGGAGGAGGAUGGUGCAAUAAUGUCACUACUUGCCUUGGUCGCAAGACGAAUCGUUUAGGUUCAUCUAAGAAAAUGGCUAAUCAAAUUGCAUUUUCAGGAAUUUUAAAUGGCAGGAGACAAUUUAAUCCAGAUUUCUACAAUUGGAACAGAAUCAAGGUUCGAUAUUGUGAUGGUUCAUCUUUUACUGGCGACGUAGAAGCAGUCAAUCCAGUAACAAAAUUGCACUUCAGAGGAGCAAGAGUUUUCAAUGCUGUCAUGGAGGAGUUGUUAGCAAAAGGAAUGAAAAAUGCUCAAAAUGCUAUUAUCUCAGGAUGUUCAGCUGGUGGAUUGACUUCAAUACUUCAUUGUGAUCGCUUUCGAGCUCUUUUACCGAGCGGGGCUAGAGUGAAAUGUCUCUCAGAUGCUGGUUACUUUAUCAACGCAAGGGAUGUAUCUGGAACACAGCACAUCGAACAAUUCUUCAGUCAAGUUGUUACAACACAUGGCUCUGCAAAGAAUUUGCCUAAGUCAUGCACUUCAAGACUCAAUCCAAGGCUGUGUUUUUUUCCUCAAUAUGUUGUAUCACAAAUCACCACACCAAUCUUCUUUGUAAACGCGGCAUAUGACUCAUGGCAGAUUAAGAACAUUUUGGCGCCGGGUGCUGCUGAUCCUCAGGGACAUUGGCAUAGCUGCAAGCUAGAUAUAAACAACUGCUCUUCUAAUCAACUUGAUCUAAUGCAAGGCUUUAGAACGCAAUUUCUAAGGGCAUUAACUGUUAUAGGAAACUCUCCAUCUAAAGGAAUGUUCAUAGACUCUUGCUAUGCUCACUGCCAAACUGAAACGCAAGAAACAUGGUUUCUAAGUGACUCUCCAUUAUUGGCCAAGACAACCAUUGCACAAGCUGUAGCAGACUGGUUUUUUGAAAGAAGGCUUUUCCAUCAAAUAGAUUGUCCUUACCCUUGCAAUCCGAGCUGUCACAACCGCGUUUUUGAACCACAAGAAAACCCAGGAAAAAAUGACACCACCAAAGGAACUUCAUCAGAUGCAUCAGCUAUAAAGCCCAGUUUUUCGAAACUAUCAAACAAGGUGAGUUUAACUCCAGUAUUCUGCAUUACCAAUGUAGAAAUGUCACACAUCAAAUCAAUGCUUUUUGUCUCCGUGAGCUUAACUCAGUUGGUAGGGACAUCGCCUUAUAUAUGCAGGAGCCGGGGUUUGAACCUCGGACACUCCACUUAUUCAUCUUUAAAGUGAAAUUUCUGGCUACUAGGUUAUUUGACAAAAAUAAAAAUCAAUGUCUUUUAAUCUGAAGUGAAAUUUCAUGCUAAUUUUUGUGUUUGACAUUAGGGAACAAUAAUAGUAUAACAGAAACCAGAUUUCAAAUAUGGUCAACUAGCAUUGAAUGCAAUCCAAGUUCUUCACUGAAAUUUAUGAAGCAUAAAUGAAUGAGCAAAGAGGACUAGACAAGAGGGAAUAUGCAAAAUAAAUUACAAAGAGAUGAUGCUACAAUACUUUUAUGGGGUUCUUUAAACAAUAUUUUUAAGAAAUUGUUAACAUGACCGUUAAUUAACCCAAGUAGUGUAUGUGGCUUUUGUGGGGAGGAACUUACUCAUACAAAUCACGGACAUUUCUCGGAUUAGACGUGUCUCGGUGUCGGACAUACGUCGGUGUUCAAAAUUGACACUUUUGAUUAUAUUAAAUUACAUCAUUUUUUAAAAAUAUUAUCGGUGCCAGUGUUCGUGUAUGAUGUUUGUGGGAAGCUGAAAAAAUUCUCAAGUUGUGAGUAAACAUCCGAACAACUUAACUCAGUUGGACAUUACAUUAUAUAUGCAGAGGCCGAGAUUUGAACUUCAAUCAUCUGAGUUAAUAGAAUUUUCAGCCAAGAAAGAAUCUUAAUUAAUGUAGUUUCCUUUAAAAACAAUUAUCUUAUUGACUAAUUAAUACCAUUAUCGCAAAAUUAGGGUUUUAUUCAAAGUUCAAACGCUUGAGCGGUAAAAUAAUUCUUCUUCUUCUCUUGAACUCCUCCGAUAACCGUCGUUACUCGCCGUCGCUACUCGCCACCGCGGCCGUGGCAGUGAGUGCGAAACUCAGCUUCAUCGUAAAAAUUAGUUUUCAUUUUCCGUUGAUAACAUAUGUUGUCGUUUACCUCGUUCAGCAAACUCAGCUAUCGGCAGAAAUCCAGAUCAACAUGGCUGAGGGAAGGUACGUGCUUCCAUGGAAGCAUUAAUAGAAGUAGUAAAGAAAAUGAAAUGUUAUACCUAGAAAUGAACAGUAACAGAGUAGCAGGAAUAGAUGCAAUAUUUGAACACUUCAAAACCCAAUUUCAUGCUAAAAGAGGAAAUAGACCUGUACCUGAGCGCUUCAAUUUUAAACGAAUUGAAGCGGAGGUUAAUGCGGCGUUGAUAGACGUUUUCUCGGAAGAGGAGGUAAGAAAUGCGGUCUGGGAUUGUGAGAGUUUAGAGAAUCCGGGUCCAGAUGGAGUUAAUUUCGAGUUUGUGAAGGAGUUUUGGGAGGAUAUUAAGGUAGAUUUCUUGAGAGUAAUGACGGAGUUUCAUACUAAUGGACGACUGGUUAAAGGUGUGAAUUGUUCGUUUGUAGUGCUUGUUCCAAAGAAGUAUAAUCCGGUGGGAGUGUCGGAUUUUAGACGUGUUUCGUUAGUUGGAUGCAUAUAAGGUGAUAUCGAAAGUUUUGGCAAAUAGGUUGGAGCGUGUUAUUGGCUUGGUUAUAUCGAAACCUCAGUCUAUCUUUGUAGGUGGGAGAGAAAUCAUGGAUGGAGUUCGUAUUGCAAAUGAGGUAGUGGAUGAGGCGAAAAGGAAGAAAAAAGAGGUAAUUAUGUUUAAAUUGAAUUACGUAAAGGCUUACUAUUCAAUUGAUUGGAAGUAUCUAGAUUAUGUCAUGGAGAAAAUGGGAUUUGAUGUUAGAUGGAGGGAAUGGAUCUCAGAAUGUCUAAAGGCUGCCUCAAUCUCGGCCCUAGUGAAUGGUAGUCCCAUAGAAGAAUUUGAAAUGGGUUGUGGGCUAAGACAAGAGGAUCCAUUAUCACCAUUUCUUUUCCUCAUAGCAAUAGAAUCUUUUAAUUUGAUGAUGAGAAAGAUUGUGGAGUUGGGACAGUUCUCAGGUUUCAGAUUUGAAGGGAAUGAUGAGCAAAUUUCUCACUUACAAUACGCAGAUGACAUUUUGAUUAUUGGUGAUAAGAGUGAGUCGAAUAUUUUUGCCAUAAAAUCAAUCAUUUAUCUAUUCGAGUUGAUGGCAGGUGUGAGAUGCUAUUUAUACAAAAGUCCACUGGUUGGGAUAAAUAUAUCUCCUACCUGGCUUGAAGAGGCAGCUUCGAGGCUACAUUGCAAAAUAGGUAGUCUUCCUUUUACAUAUCUUGGAUUGCCAAUUGGGGAAAAUCCAAGAAAAAGUUCAAUGUGGCAAACCGUGUUAGAUGCCGUGAGAGAUAGGUUGUCAGGUUGGAAGAAUAAACACCUUUCCAUUGGAGGUCGUGCUGUAAUCAUCAAAUCACUCUUGUCGGGGCUGCUAGUCUACUUCCUCUCUUCAAGGCUCCGUCAGGCACAAUGGAUUGAGCUUUUGUGCAUCAGAACUGGUUGGCUUUUACAAACGUUGGUUAUUCUGAUCAUCCUGUAAAAGCUUAUAUUUGCUGAUUUUGACCCAACCGGACCAUUUCGCCUUACAA